UCCCUGGUGACUUAGUGGUAAAGAAUCUGCUUGCCAAUGCAGGAGACACGGGUUCGAUCCCUGAUCUGGGAA
rnacentral:tRNA from 1 species